AACAGGAUUAGAUACCCUGGUAGUCCACGCUGUAAACGAUGUCGACUUGGAGGUUGUUCCCUUGAGGAGUGGCUUCCGGAGCUAACGCGUUAAGUCGACCGCCUGGGGAGUACGGCCGCAAGGUUAAAACUCAAAUGAAUUGACGGGGGCCCGCACAAGCGGUGGAGCAUGUGGUUUAAUUCGAUGCAACGCGAAGAACCUUACCUACUCUUGACAUCCAGAGAACUUAGCAGAGAUGCUUUGGUGCCUUCGGGAACUCUGAGACAGGUGCUGCAUGGCUGUCGUCAGCUCGUGUUGUGAAAUGUUGGGUUAAGUCCCGCAACGAGCGCAACCCUUAUCCUUUGUUGCCAGCGGUCCGGCCGGGAACUCAAAGGAGACUGCCAGUGAUAAACUGGAGGAAGGUGGGGAUGACGUCAAGUCAUCAUGGCCCUUACGAGUAGGGCUACACACGUGCUACAAUGGCGUAUACAAAGAGAAGCGACCUCGCGAGAGCAAGCGGACCUCAUAAAGUAUGUCGUAGUCCGGAUUGGAGUCUGCAACUCGACUCCAUGAAGUCGGAAUCGCUAGUAAUCGUGGAUCAGAAUGCCACGGUGAAUACGUUCCCGGGCCUUGUACACACCGCCCGUCACACCAUGGGAGUGGGUUGCAAAAGAAGUAGGUAGCUUAACCUUCGGGAGGGCGCUUACCACUUUGUGAUUCAUGACUGGGGUGAAGUCGUAACAAGGUAACC
rnacentral:rRNA from 1 species